rnacentral:ncRNA from 1 species
CCAAGUCCCGACGCACUCCCCCCGGCGCCGGGACUCCCCGAGCCGGGCUUCGGCGCCUAUCCCCCCUGGGUGCCGGGGCCCGGCUCUUUU